rnacentral:tRNA from 1 species
GGGCCCAUAGCUCAGCCGGUUAGAGCACUUGCCUUUUAAGCAAGGUGUCGUGAGUUCGAGUCUCACUGGGCCCUCCA